rnacentral:rRNA from 1 species
UAGCUUGCUACCUGACCUAGCGGCGGACGGGUGAGUAAUGCUUAGGAAUCUGCCUAUUAGUGGGGGACAACAUUCCGAAAGGAAUGCUAAUACCGCAUACGCCCUACGGGGGAAAGCAGGGGAUCUUCGGACCUUGCGCUAAUAGAUGAGCCUAAGUCAGAUUAGCUAGUUGGUGGGGUAAAGGCCUACCAAGGCGACGAUCUGUAGCGGGUCUGAGAGGAUGAUCCGCCACACUGGGACUGAGACACGGCCCAGACUCCUACGGGAGGCAGCAGUGGGGAAUAUUGGACAAUGGGCGAAAGCCUGAUCCAGCCAUGCCGCGUGUGUGAAGAAGGCCUUUUGGUUGUAAAGCACUUUAAGCGAGGAGGAGGCUACUUAGAUUAAUACUCUAGGAUAGUGGACGUUACUCGCAGAAUAAGCACCGGCUAACUCUGUGCCAGCAGCCGCGGUAAUACAGAGGGUGCGAGCGUUAAUCGGAUUUACUGGGCGUAAAGCGUGCGUAGGCGGCUUCUUAAGUCGGAUGUGAAAUCCCUGAGCUUAACUUAGGAAUUGCAUUCGAUACUGGGAAGCUAGAGUAUGGGAGAGGAUGGUAGAAUUCCAGGUGUAGCGGUGAAAUGCGUAGAGAUCUGGAGGAAUACCGAUGGCGAAGGCAGCCAUCUGGCCUAAUACUGACGCUGAGGUACGAAAGCAUGGGGAGCAAACAGGAUUAGAUACCCUGGUAGUCCAUGCCGUAAACGAUGUCUACUAGCCGUUGGGGCCUUUGAGGCUUUAGUGGCGCAGCUAACGCGAUAAGUAGACCGCCUGGGGAGUACGGUCGCAAGACUAAAACUCAAAUGAAUUGACGGGGGCCCGCACAAGCGGUGGAGCAUGUGGUUUAAUUCGAUGCAACGCGAAGAACCUUACCUGGUCUUGACAUAGUAAGAACUUUCCAGAGAUGGAUUGGUGCCUUCGGGAACUUACAUACAGGUGCUGCAUGGCUGUCGUCAGCUCGUGUCGUGAGAUGUUGGGUUAAGUCCCGCAACGAGCGCAACCCUUUUCCUUAUUUGCCAGCGGGUUAAGCCGGGAACUUUAAGGAUACUGCCAGUGACAAACUGGAGGAAGGCGGGGACGACGUCAAGUCAUCAUGGCCCUUACGACCAGGGCUACACACGUGCUACAAUGGUCGGUACAAAGGGUUGCUACCUAGCGAUAGGAUGCUAAUCUCAAAAAGCCGAUCGUAGUCCGGAUUGGAGUCUGCAACUCGACUCCAUGAAGUCG